AACGAACGCUGGCGGCAGGCUUAACACAUGCAAGUCGAACGCAUCCUUCGGGGUGAGUGGCAGACGGGUGAGUAACGCGUGGGAACGUGCCCUUCAGUUCGGGAUAACCCAGGGAAACUUGGGCUAAUACCGGAUACGUGCGAGAGCAGAAAGAUUUAUCGCUGAAGGAUCGGCCCGGGUCUGAUUAGCUAGUUUGUGGGGUAAUGGCCCACCAAGGGGACGAUAAGUAGCUGGUCUGAGAGGAGGAUCAGACACAUUGGGACUGAAACACGGACCAAACUCCUACGGGAGGCAGCAGUGGGGAAUAUUGGACAAUGGGCGCAAGCCUGAUCCAGCCAUGCCGCGUGAGUGAUGAAGGCCUUAGGGUUGUAAAGCUCUUUCGUCCGGGACGAUAAUGACGGUACCGGAAGAAGAAGCCCCGGCUAACUUCGUGCCAGCAGCCGCCGUAAAAC
rnacentral:rRNA from 1 species